rnacentral:tRNA from 1 species
GGCCUUGUGGUCUAGUAGUAUGAUUCUCGCUUAGGGUGCGAGAGGUCCCGGAUUCGAUCUCCGGCAAGGCCC